AACGGCUGCUAAUACCGAAUGUGCCGAGAGGUGAAAGAUUCAUUGCCUAGGGAUUGGCUCGCGUCAGAUUAGCUAGUUGGUGGAGUAACGGUUUACCAAGGCGACGAUCUGUAUUUGGUCUGAGAGGAUGACCAGACACACUGGGACUGAGACACGGCCCAGACUCCUACGGGAGGCAGCAGUGGGGAAUUUUCCGCAAUGGGCGAAAGCCUGACGGAGCAAUACCGCGUGAGGGAGGACGGCUUUUGGGUUGUAAACCUCUUUUAUCAGGGAAGAAACAAAUGACGGUACCUGAUGAAUCAGCAUCGGCUAACUCCGUGCCAGCAGCCGCGGUAAUACGGAGGAUGCAAGCGUUAUCCGGAAUUAUUGGGCGUAAAGCGUCCGUAGGUGGUUUUUCAAGUCUGCUGUCAAAGCGUGGAGCUCAACUCCAUAUCGGCAGUGGAAACUGGGAGACUAGAGUGCGAUAGGGGUAACGGGAAUUCCCAGUGUAGCGGUGAAAUGCGUAGAGAUUGGGAAGAACACCAGCGGCGAAAGCGCGUUACUGGGUCUGCACU
rnacentral:rRNA from 1 species